rnacentral:rRNA from 1 species
AGCAGAUGAAUGGGAGUAAAGUGCGCGUAGGCGGAUCGUUAAGUCAGAGGUGAAAUCCCAGGGCUCAACCCUGGAACUGCCUUUGAUACUGGCGAUCUUGAGUAUGAGAGAGGUAUGUGGAACUCCGAGUGUAGAGGUGAAAUUCGUAGAUAUUCGGAAGAACACCAGUGGCGAAGGCGACAUACUGGCUCAUUACUGACGCUGAGGCGCGAAAGCGUGGGGAGCAAACAGGAUUAGAUACCCUGGUAGUCCACGCCGUAAACGAUGAUUGCUAGUUGUCGGGCUGCAUGCAGUUCGGUGACG